CCAAAGUCCAAUAAUCUCAAACUUCUGAUUUUAUUUGGUCAAUAAGCAACCCAAGUUUUUACAGCAUUUGUUUUGCAUUGUUGGCUCACCUCUUUUAAUCAAUCCAUAAACCAAAGUAGUGCUUUGCACAAACUAUUUAUUAUGAAUGUUUACAUUCCCCGAUUAAGUUUGAUAUAAAUGUUUAAUUUAAGAUUUAAUAAAUAAAACCAUUCUGCAGAUUGUGUUAAUGUAAUAGUUUCCAUAAAAAUGAUUUCCAGUGGUGAAAGCCAACAUGCAAAGGUCUUGCACGGCUUUCAAACAUUGACUGCUUGAAUCAUUUUCCACUAGUCUUUUGAUACAGUACAUGGUUUUCAGUGGAACACAGGCUUCGAACGUUGUUUAAAGUAUUUGUUUUGAAAACAUACACCAAUAUUCUUUUUGCCCACAUUUCUCUGUAUAUUCUUUCAUUUUCGAUAGGUUGAUUCCCGCUGUCAAAUCAGGCCAUCGUCUUUUGAGGGAACACAGUACAAUAUUUUCAUUCCCACCAACAGUAUUAGAUAUAGAUGCACAACUCCAGCUAUAACGAGGCAGGUAGUAAUCAUUAGAAAAUAUUAUACAGAAGAAAAAGAGGCACUUCAUGUCGGGACAAGUUUCAGAAACCAAAUUGCGAUCAGCCACCUUCAUGAUUAUAUCAUAUUAAAAUGAAGCCUACACUUUGUUGGCGAGUGGUAAGAGAAAAGUAUAAAUGCAUUGGUCACAAUGAGCAGCAUCAAUAAACCAGGGUAGUUCACACACACACACACACACACACACACACACACACACACACACACACACACACACACACACACACACACACACACACACACACCGUUGGAGAAAGAAGAUAUUGGGACUAAGAAGAGCUCUGGGUCGUGUACCUCUAAGUAACCCUGUGUUCUGUUUUUGUGUACAUAUAUUCAAUAGAAUAUAACGGGUAAAUGUACUCUAAUAUAAAUACAACAUCACUGGAACUAAAUCUAUAAUCUCAGAGAUGUAUGAGCCACUGUUCGGCAGCUUGACAUGUAGCUUAUUGCUUGUUCGUCCAGAGAGUGAGACAAAGAAACAGAUAAAAAGAGGGAGUGAGAGACAUAAAGAGAGAGUAAAAGAGAGAGUAAAAGAAGCAGCAACAAAGAGAGAGGAGAGAGUGAAAGAAAAAUAGAGAAGAAGCAGAGAGAAUAUAUAUAAUAUCCAUAUGAAUUGUCCAAGAUGAGUAAGUAAUGUUUCAUAUGUUUUUGUAUGAUCAUGUACACAAAUUAACAUGUCUAUAUCAAAUAAACAAAUAAAGCACCAAUAUGAGCAAA